rnacentral:rRNA from 1 species
AUUGAACGCUGGCGGCAGGCCUAACACAUGCAAGUCGAACGAGUGGCGGACGGGUGAGUAAUGUCUGGGAAACUGCCCGAUGGAGGGGGAUAACUACUGGAAACGGUAGCUAAUACCGCAUACCAUCGGAUGUGCCCAGAUGGGAUUAGCCAGUAGGUGGGGUAACGGCUAACCUAGGCGACGAUCACUAACUGGUCUGAGAGGAUGACCGGCCACACUGGAACGGAGACACGGUCUAGACUCGUACGGGAGGCAGCAGUGGGGAAUAUUGCACAAUGGGCGCAAGCCGGAUGCAGCAAUGCCGCGUGUAUGAAGAAGGCCUUCGGGUUGUAAAGUACUUUCAGCGAGGAGGCGUUACUCGCAGAAGAAGAACCGGCUAACUCCGUGCCAGCAGCCGCGGUAAUUC